GUAUAUAUUUUGUUUCUUUCAUACAUUCAACAUUUUAAUGUGAUUAUGAUAAUAAAAAGGGAAAGCCGAACUAAACAUAAAGCACAGCAGUCCCAAUAUGAUGCACAAGUUGGAGAAAUAAUAAAAGGCGUGCACAUGCCUCAAAGGCCAGCAACAACCCAUAUUCAAUAAUGAUCCUUCCGCAGGUUCACCUACGGAAA
rnacentral:misc_RNA from 1 species